GAUGAACGCUGGCGGCGUGCCUAAUACAUGCAAGUCGAGCGAAUGGAUUAAGAGCUUGCUCUUAUGAAGUUAGCGGCGGGCGGGUGGGUAACACGUGGGUAACCUGCCCAUAAGACUGGGAUAACUCCGGGAAACCGGGGCUAAUACCGGAUAACAUUUUGAACCGCAUGGUUCGAAAUUGAAAGGUGGCUUCGGCUGUCACUUAUGGAUGGACCCGCGUCGCAUUAGCUAGUUGGUGAGGUAACGGCUCACCAAGGCAACGAUGCGUAGCCGCCCUGGGAGGGUGAUCGGCCACAAUGGGACUGAGACACGGCCCAGAAUCCUACGGGAGGCAGCAGUAGGGAAUCUUCCGCAAUGGACGAAAGUCUGACGGAGCAACGCCGCGUGAGUGAUGAAGGCUUUCGGGUCGUAAAACUCUGCUGUUAGGGAAGAACAAGUGCUAGUUGAAUAAGCUGGCACCUUGACGGUACCUAACCAGAAAGCCACGGCUAACUACGUGCCAGCCGCCGCAGUAA
rnacentral:rRNA from 1 species